GAGGCCCAGGUUUACAUCCUCAGCAAGGAGGAAGGUGGCCACCACAAGCCCUUUGUGUCCUACUUCAUGCCAGUCAUGUUCUCCCUGACUUGGGACAUGGCCUGUUGGAUUAUCCUGCCCCCAGAGAAGUAGCUUGCCAUGCCCGGGGAGAACCUGAAGUUCAACCUAAUCUUGCGGCAGCCAGUGAUCUUAGAGAAAGGCCAGUGCUUCACCCUGAGAGAUGGCAACUGGAUUAUUGGCACCGGUCUAGUCACCAACACGCUGGCCAUGACUGAGGAGGAGAAGAACAUCAAGUGGGGUUGAGUGUGCAAACCUCUGCUCAGCUUCCCUUGCGUUUAAGGUCUGCCCUAGCCAGAACUCCCUCCUGCUUCCAGUGCCCCCUCAUGGAAUAGGCUGCAACCCAGCAGAGGGCAGGUAGAAGGACAUUUCCCCUGGUCGGAAAGGUUGGCCUGCCUGGCCGGGGAGGUGCCGGGGAGGUCAGUAAACUUCUGUGAAUAGUAAAAAAACAAACAAACAAACAAAAAACAAGAAAAGAAAUUGAAUGUUUUAGAAAGACUCAAUGAAGUGAGUCUGUAAGAAACUGGUUUUCAUCAGGUGUGGGAUUGAGAGUCUGUUCCAUUCACCCCUUCCUUUCCCACCCUCCAUGGGAGAGCCUUACUGGGCAACCCCAAGGGCAGGAGCAGAAUCUAAGCAGCAGGCUCCCUGGCACCUCUCACCUACGGUCUGUGCCUUCCCAUGUUCUACCAUUUCUUCUAAACAGGCAUGCAAGUGAGUGGAGAGGCAGAGGCAAGGCUUUUUAGAUAGGAUUUAUUUCCUUCACUGACUCAACAAGAGUCAACAGGAGAGGCAGAAUGCCUGCAGUAUACAAGAAGUUCUCAGACACUAUAGGCUCCAACUUACAUCUUAACCCAGAGCUAAAACUGUUUCUUUGAUUCUCUCCCUUUAUUCCAUUUGGUGUCUCCCUUGGGGUAGUUUCUCACUGAAGAGGAUGGUAUUAAGCUGGUCUGUUUGCUUUCAUUCUCUUGAACCUUUGGUUUGUCAUCUAGGGAGAGGAUGUUUUUCCUGUUUUUCUCUUUUUUAAUUUUCUUUCUUAUUUUUUUCUUUGAGACAUGGUCUUGCUCCAUUGCCGAAGCUGGAGUGCAGUGGUGCAAUCACAGCUCACUGCAGCCUGGACCUCCCAGGCUCAAGUGAUGCUUCCAUCUCAGCCUCCAAUAGCUGGGACCACAGGUACACACCACCACACCUGGAUAAUUAUUUUAUUUAUUUGUAGAAACGGGUCUGGCUAUGUUGCCCAGGCUGGUCUUUAACUCCUAGGCUCAAGCUAUCCUCCCUCCUCUGCUUACCCAGUAUUACAGAGAUUCAGGUGUGAGCCACUGUGCCUGGCCUGUUUUUCUUAUAAAUAGUAUUUAGACUAAUGUAUUUAACUUUUAAUAUUGAAAUGUGCCAUAUUUGACUGAAGUUGAGAGUACACUAUAAUAAGCCCUGUGUCCUCAUCACUCAGCUUCAACCAGUGUCCACUCCUGGCCAAUCUUCUGUUUGUCCUUUUCACUUCUGCCCCUCCACAGAGCCAUAAGCAAAAGGCCUUGGGCCUUAAAGAUCGGUGAGUAAAGGUCAUUUACAAGUUUUAAGUUAAAAAUGUUGAAGAUGUGAAAUUAUUGUUUUAAAAAUGGUUACCCACUUUAACGAGGUUUCAUUUGAGGAACCAAUAGAUACAGGUCCCAGUUGUCUCAGAUUAGUAGACUGAAUUUUAAAGCUGGCAGCAUUUUCAGUACUAAUUUGAUGGUGUGACAUUGCAUUUCGUCCAGCUAGUAAGCCAUGCUUCAGGUGGAAAGACUCCUCUUAAACAUAGUGAGCAGCGUGAUUAUGAAAAUAAACACUGAAAGUUUUAUCCAUAAGCUUCAAUUUAAGGCAUAUUCUUUGCAAUAUAAGUUAGUAAACCAAUUACUAUCAUAGAGAUACUGUUUAUUUUAGAUUGAGAAAGAGCUAAGGGGAAAUGUAUUGCUAUUUCAAAACAAAUUUUAUAUAUAUACACAAAUAUAUAUAUAUAUAUAUAUAUAUAUAUAUAUAUAUAUAUAUAUACACACAUAUAUAUAUGAAAUGGAAUCUCGCUUUGUCGCCCAGGCUGGAUUGCAGUGAUAUGAUCUCAGUUCAUUGCAACCUCUGCCUCCCAGGUUCAAGUGACUCUCCUGCCUUGGCCUCCCGAGUAGCUGGGACUACAGGUGCGUGCCAUCAUGCCCGGCUAAUUUUUUGUAUUUUUAGUAGAUACAGGGUUUCACCAUGUUAGCCAGGAUGGUCUUGAUCUCCUGACCUUGUGAUCUGCCCACCUUCGUCUCCCAAAGUGCUGGGAUUACAGGCAUGAGCCACUGCACCUGGCCUAAAAUAGAAAAGAUAUUUAACUUCUGUGCUUUAUUCCUCCAGAGACUGAUUAAGAUCUUUGAAUGGAAAAUCCACAGAAACAGAUUUUAGUUCAAUGUGUAUCAUUAGUAUAUUAACAUAAUUUCAUUUGCCAUUUUUGGAGUUGUGGCUUUAAACCAGAGAACAACAUAGAUGUAUUUAACUCUAUUAUUUCAUCUGGCCAUCGCUGUAAACCUUCAGAUGUGCCAGGUGGUGCCAGUGCCAGCUAAUCACCUCCCUGUUGGCAGCACCGUGAACACUGUGCACCUGUCUUCAGAUGGCACUUAAAGCAGAGAAGCCUGCUGUGUGGCUGUGGGAGUCAUCAGAGAGGUGGCAGUGGAGGUUUGUUAUCGACCCAAUCAUUACAUCGCUACCCAAGAGUUGGAAACUUCCUGUGUUGCCCACGCUGGUCUCAAACUCCUGGACUCAUGGGAUCCUCCCACCUUGGCCUCCCAAAGCAGUGGUAUUACAGGCAUGAGCCAUUGCACUGGGCUCCUGUUUAGUUUUAAUUUUAAAACACCUCAAGAGUCAGAUAAUUCAGGGAAAGACCAUGCAAGGCUGUUACUGAAGAAAGUGCUACGAGUCUGUUCUAGACAUGGCUUGCCUAGCACUGAGCAUCCUUCCUCACUUCUAAGUGAGAAUUUUCCAGAUCUGUGCAUUGGGGUCCCCCAAGAAAGAGGCUCAGUCCUGAUGUACUGUUUCCUGUAUACUGCAUGCUCACCCCCCAAAACCACAUGGUUAAUCCAGAUCCAGCCCCUGCUUUCUUAGUUAUGAGGCUUCUCAUGGCAAAGCAAUAAAAAGCAAGUUUUCAAUGAUAAAGUCAUGUCUGAAAACAUGUUAAUUGUCAUCAUCUUUGAUGUUGUAACCUGAGCUAUAGAUUGUUGGGAUGCACACGUUACUCUUUUAAGCUUAUGUGCCUUGAUUCUGUCUACAUCAUUUCUUUCUUUCUGAACUGUGAACUGCGCUAAUUUGAUGGGGUUUGCUACCUGAUUGGGGUCCUGACCUUAGCCUUCAUCUUGCCAUAUACAGUUUGUUUUUGUCUCCAUCAGCGUUAGCUCUGUUCAACGCCCUUGUGGAGUCCAGGACUUAGAGAGAGGAUCUCCAAGCAGAAGCCCCCAGCCCACGUGAGAACAGGGAGACCCUUGUGCCCUUAACUGUUUUCCAUAGUACUGCCCAGCCUUGUACACUCUGGCCCAAAUGUUCCUCACCUUUGGAAGACACAGAACUUCUUUCAAAACCAUUGAAAUAUCGAGAUCAUUUCCGCAGAAAGAAAAUGUAAUUUAAGAGGAUCCAGAUGCUCAGUGUCAUCUUCGAAGAUGCCAGGUCACAUUGGCAAAGGCCGCAAGAACUGAUAUGAAAAACCAGAUGCAAUGAAAACCGUAACUGUACAUGAGACAGAACUGCCCAAGGUCAAGCUGGGGCAUUCUGUGUGAAGAGGAAGAUGCCUUGGCAGAAGAUCACUUCAUCAUGACCAGGGCAUCAGAAGAAGGGGUCGCAGAAUUUAUUCAUGAUUCAAUAAGUAUGCACCACCUGUCUGGAAGUGAGUUAGCAUAAAACAUAAGUUCAGUAAGAAUACAAGAAUGAGUGAGUGAAUUAAGAAAUGAAUGGAUUGGGAGUUACCAUUGGCCACACACCGCUUAGACAGUAGAAUAUCUCAGCCAGGUAGAAAGAAUGGAUCAUGGUGGCCCAGCAAAGCAUGUACUUCCUGGGGCAGAUUGUGGCAUCAUUAUCUCCAACAUCUCUGACAAUUUCUGUUUCAAGUUAAGGGCUGGUCAGCUUCUAUUCUUAGAAACACUUUCUUUACACAUGUCAGUAAAUCAAAUCUUGUCUUUAGAGACAAUCCAUCUUGUUAAACUAACUUUGUUUGGGUCUACCCUGACCCUGUUUGUGCCACCCCUGCCCCCAUACAUAUAAUCAGUUUUGUCUGUAGUUAUAAUUUGUCCAUAAUUUGGAAAAGAGAAGCCUAAAAAAGUUCACUCUAGACACUUUCAGCUAGGAACAAACUUAUAUGUGAAAAUAAUUAAAAUGUGGGGAGUGAAGGUUUAUAGUGGAACUAUUUACAGACCCUCAAACACUGCACAACAGUUGAAACUUUGCUGUAGUGACUUCAUUCUCUUAGUUGUCAAUCUGUUUUUCUUCUACAUUUCUUCCACAUACUUCUGGUAUAUUUUUAAUAAAGAUUUUUCAAAAAGAUAAAUAUGGCUUAUAUUUUCCCAGCUCAAAAUUCCCCUGAAGGCCUCCGAAGCAGUAAAUAGUAGUGCUUUGAAUACUGCUCUUUCUUUUCCUG
rnacentral:lncRNA from 1 species